rnacentral:rRNA from 1 species
UACAGAGGUCUCAAGCGUUGUUCGGAAUCACUGGGCGUAAAGGGUGCGUAGGCGGCGCAGCAAGUCAGAUGUGAAAUCCGGAGGCUCAACCUCCGAACUGCAUCCGAAACUGCUGUGCUCGAGAUCUGUAGAGGGACUUGGAAUUCUCGGUGUAGCAGUGAAAUGCGUAGAUAUCGAGAAGAACGCUCGUGGCGAAGGCGAAGUCCUGGGCAGAUUCUGACGCUGAGGCACGAAGGCCUGGGGAGCAAACGGG